UAGGGAAUUUUGCGCAAUGGACGAAAGUCUGACGCAGCAACGCCGCGUGAGGGAUGAAGGUCUUCGGAUUGUAAACCUCUGUGAAUGGGAAAAAAAGGUAGCAAUACUUUGAUGGUACCAUUUGAGGAAGCACCGGCUAACUACGUGCCAGCAGCCGCGGUAAUACGUAGGGUGCAAGCGUUGUUCGGAAUCACUGGGCGUAAAGGGAGCGUAGGCGGGAUCGUAAGUUAGGAGUUUAAUACAUGGGCUUAACCCGUGGCUGGCUUUUAAUACUGCGGUUCUUGAGUAUGGGAGAGGGCGAUGGAAUUCCAGGUGUAGCGGUGGAAUGCGUAGAUAUCUGGAAGAACACCAGUAGCGAAGGCGGUCGCCUGGCCUAAUACUGACGCUGAUGCUCGAAAGCUAGGGGAGCAAACAGG
rnacentral:rRNA from 2 species